rnacentral:rRNA from 1 species
AUUGAACGCUGGCGGCAUGCCUUACACAUGCAAGUCGAACGGCAGCACGGGAGCAAUCCUGGUGGCGAGUGGCGAACGGGUGAGUAAUAUAUCGGAACGUGCCCAGUAAUGGGGAUAGCCCGGCGAAAGCCGGAUUAAUACCGCAUACGACCUACGGGUGAAAGCGGGGGAUCGCAAGACCUCGCGUUAUUGGAGCGGCCGAUAUCAGAUUAGCUUGUUGGCGGGGUAAAAGCCCACCAAGGCGACGAUCUGUAGCUGGUCUGAGAGGACGACCAGCCACACUGGGACUGAGACACGGCCCAGACUCCUACGGGAGGCAGCAGUGGGGAAUUUUGGACAAUGGGCGCAAGCCUGAUCCAGCCAUGCCGCGUGUGGGGAAGAAGGGCCUUCGGGUUGGUAAACCACUUUGUCAGGGAAGAAACGGACUCUUACUAAUAUUAGGAGCUAAUGACGGUACCGUGAAGAAUAAGACACCGGCUAACUACGUGCCAGCAGCCGCGGUAA